UAAAUGCAAACAACAGUAAACAAUGUCAUCUUGGCUGCCAAUGUUGUUAAAUUCUCCCUAAUUCUGGGUCACAUUACUGCUGAAACAUGUCCAGUUGGGUAGUGUUUGGUUCAGAACCCUUUAUCUGUGAUUUUGAGAGUAGAAAGUGCUGCUUUGUUCUACUAC